CAAGGAAAAUAACAGACUGCCACAGAGGCCAGAGCAACCAGGCGAUACUGUGACCAGGGUAGCAUGGACUUUUGACAGGAAAUGCCAGGAAGGAACAAAGAGAAACGGAAGAACUUGAUCAUUCUUUGAUUGCAAACCCCAAAAUCUGAGACUGAGUUCAAAGAAAAGCCCAGUGAAGAAGGAAGAACAAGUAGCCCUAUGGCUCCUGAGUUCAAAUAGCAAGUUUGUAGAUCAGAGAAGGCUUCAAGGUGGGAUGAACAGACACGGACGGGCCUUAAAGGAUGGGCAGAACCUGCAGACGCAGGAGGGAGGCAGAAAGAUUGAUGACAGAAGAGAAGGAGAUGAAUCAUGGAAAUGAGAAGUUGGAGACAUCUGAGGAAGGAGCCACGUCAAGAAGUGGAGGCAGC
ensembl:lncRNA